AUCUUCAUCAAGAAAGAGCCUGUGCAUAUAACCUGUACACACACACACACACACACACUCACACACACACACACAAAAUCAACAAAACCCUAUGCUCCAGCCAGAAAAACACCUUCUUGCCACUAGGCCCCUAUUAGUGCUGGUCCCUCCACAGCCCUGCAGUUCUCAAAGAACAAGGGUCGUUGGGCAAUCCUUCCAGACAGCUUCUGGGAGUGACCCGUCCUUGACACAUUGAGUUAGCUGUGCUCUGAAGGCCCAAAGCGAUUCGAAGCAUGAUUUUAAUGACUGUCAUUAC
rnacentral:lncRNA from 1 species